rnacentral:rRNA from 1 species
UACGUAGGGUGCGAGCGUUAAUCGGAAUUACUGGGCGUAAAGCGUGCGCAGGCGGUUUUGUAAGCCAGGUGUGAAAUCCCCGGGCUCAACCUGGGAAUGGCAUUUGGGACUGCAAGGCUGGAGUGCGGCAGAGGAGACUGGAAUUCCUGGUGUAGCAGUGAAAUGCGUAGAGAUGUGGAGGAAUACCGAUGGCGAAGGCAGCCUCCUGGGCCAACACUGACGCUCAUGCACGAAAGCGUGGGGAGCAAACAGG